rnacentral:rRNA from 1 species
CCUACGGGAGGCAGCAGUGGGGAAUAUUGGACAAUGGGGGGAACCCUGAUCCAGCGACGCCGCGUGAGUGAAGAAGUAUUUCGGUACGUAAAGCUCUAUCAGCAGGGAAGAAAAUGACGGUACCUGACUAAGAAGCCCCGGCUAACUACGUGCCAGCAGCCGCGGUAAUACGUAGGGGGCAAGCGUUAUCCGGAUUUACUGGGUGUAAAGGGAGCGUAGACGGCAGCGCAAGUCUGGAGUGAAAUCCCAUGGCUUAACCAUGGAACUGCUUUGGAAACUGUGCAGCUAGAGUGCAGGAGAGGUAAGCGGAAUUCCUAGUGUAGCGGUGAAAUGCGUAGAUAUUAGGAGGAACACCAGUGGCGAAGGCGGCUUACUGGACUGUAACUGACGUUGAGGCUCGAAAGCGUGGGGAGCAAACAGGAUUAGAUACCCCAGUAGUC